rnacentral:rRNA from 1 species
UUAAAUUGAAGAGUUUGAUCAUGGCUCAGAUUGAACGCUGGCGGCAGGCCUAACACAUGCAAGUCGAACGGUAACAGGAAGCAGCUUGCUGCUUUGCUGACGAGUGGCGGACGGGUGAGUAAUGUCUGGGAAACUGCCUGAUGGAGGGGGAUAACUACUGGAAACGGUGGCUAAUACCGCAUAACGUCGCAAGACCAAAGAGGGGGACCUUCGGGCCUCUUGCCAUCAGAUGUGCCCAGAUGGGAUUAGCUUGUUGGUGAGGUAACGGCUCACCAAGGCGACGAUCCCUAGCUGGUCUGAGAGGAUGACCAGCCACACUGGAACUGAGACACGGUCCAGACUCCUACGGGAGGCAGCAGUGGGGAAUAUUGCACAAUGGGCGCAAGCCUGAUGCAGCCAUGCCGCGUGUAUGAAGAAGGCCUUCGGGUUGUAAAGUACUUUCAGCGGGGAGGAAGGUGUUGUGGUUAAUAACCGCAGCAAUUGACGUUACCCGCAGAAGAAGCACCGGCUAACUCCGUGCCAGCAGCCGCGGUAAUACGGAGGGUGCAAGCGUUAAUCGGAAUUACUGGGCGUAAAGCGCACGCAGGCGGUCUGUCAAGUCGGAUGUGAAAUCCCCGGGCUCAACCUGGGAACUGCAUUCGAAACUGGCAGGCUUGAGUCUUGUAGAGGGGGGUAGAAUUCCAGGUGUAGCGGUGAAAUGCGUAGAGAUCUGGAGGAAUACCGGUGGCGAAGGCGGCCCCCUGGACAAAGACUGACGCUCAGGUGCGAAAGCGUGGGGAGCAAACAGGAUUAGAUACCCUGGUAGUCCACGCCGUAAACGAUGUCUACUUGGAGGUUGUGCCCUUGAGGCGUGGCUUCCGGAGCUAACGCGUUAAGUAGACCGCCUGGGGAGUACGGCCGCAAGGUUAAAACUCAAAUGAAUUGACGGGGGCCCGCACAAGCGGUGGAGCAUGUGGUUUAAUUCGAUGCAACGCGAAGAACCUUACCUGGUCUUGACAUCCACGGAAGUUUUCAGAGAUGAGAAUGUGCCUUCGGGAACCGUGAGACAGGUGCUGCAUGGCUGUCGUCAGCUCGUGUUGUGAAAUGUUGGGUUAAGUCCCGCAACGAGCGCAACCCUUAUCCUUUGUUGCCAGCGAUUAGGUCGGGAACUCAAAGGAGACUGCCAGUGAUAAACUGGAGGAAGGUGGGGAUGACGUCAAGUCAUCAUGGCCCUUACGACCAGGGCUACACACGUGCUACAAUGGCGCAUACAAAGAGAAGCGACCUCGCGAGAGCAAGCGGACCUCAUAAAGUGCGUCGUAGUCCGGAUUGGAGUCUGCAACUCGACUCCAUGAAGUCGGAAUCGCUAGUAAUCGUGGAUCAGAAUGCCACGGUGAAUACGUUCCCGGGCCUUGUACACACCGCCCGUCACACCAUGGGAGUGGGUUGCAAAAGAAGUAGGUAGCUUAACCUUCGGGAGGGCGCUUACCACUUUGUGAUUCAUGACUGGGGUGAAGUCGUAACAAGGUAACCGUAGGGGAACCUGCGGUUGGAUCACCUCCUUACCUGAAAGAA